GGGACUGUAGCUCAGUGGUAGAGCACUUGCCUCACACGUAGGAGGCACUGGUUUCAAUCCUCAGCAUCACA
rnacentral:tRNA from 1 species